rnacentral:tRNA from 1 species
GUUUUAAUAAUUUAAAUAUAAAAUAUUGGUCUUGUAAAUCAACAAUAAGGUUUCCUUUUAAAACU